CCUCAACGAACAUUAUAUGAAGGGAAGCAUAAACGUAACCACCGGGAGCCGUCGAUGGCGACCUCUGAAAAACUUCCUGUGUAUCUUACUCAACCUUCCCUCCUUACUCGUGUUCGUGUAAUACAGGUUCCGCUUUCGUGGUGUGCCUUUUCCCCCUCUAUUGACAGCGUAUGCUGUUGACACAUUUCCCCAUUUACUUAAUUCUUUUUAUAGUAAUUACGUGUUUAUAGAAAUACGUGGACGUUAUUUUAAAUCUCGAAAAAGACUCAACAUUUAGCUGCCAAAAAGAAAGGAAGCUAACGCUACCAUGUAAUGGAUGUUGGAUUGGCGUUAUUGUCAUAUAAACGAGGGAAAAAAGACUGGAAACAUAGCCGGGACAUUGGCGAUGAUGGAACCUCACUGAUGUGAAUCAUGUGGGUGGAGUUUUUUGGAUGUUGGCCUGCUCACCUAUCACAGCUGUUCAGAGAGACAGACGUUCCUCCCAGUCAAGGACAUUUAGGGAGAUUCAAAAAUUCUCAGUUCCCUGAAGCCUUUUCCCUACCGAGGGCUUUGAAAUGCCACUUUGACACCAUCCACACAACCCUUGAACAUGAAGGCCCAUUUUCCGGCUGUGAGCAAGACUGCCCGUUCCGCAGCAUGGAUUGUGUGGAAUACCGGUUUCAUUUGACAUCCGCGCAUGGUCUCCCGCUUAUUCCUUGCCAUUUCUGAGACCUGAGUGUCUUUUCUCACACAGUGUAAAAUGGAGAACCACAGUAGAGUACAUAAGAAUUUUGGCUGCCGGUUUGUCACACAAACCCUGGCGGAAUGGAGUGACCACCUUUUGGAACACAACACUGAAGGUAAGGUACCCACAAAUGGAGAUCACCAACCUCAAGUCUCUGCUUCAGGUUCCAGUCAAGUCUGCAUAUCAUCAGAACCAGAACAGGACAAAGAAGAAGAAGCAGCACAACAAGAACACAAUGUGAAAGAAUUGGGAAAGACAGUGGAAAACACACUUUCAGCAAAAAAUGCCACACUAUUGCCGACUAAAGACUACCUUGCAGAGGGGACAGAGAAUAUGUACCGUACCCACAUUUGUCCCAAAUGCCGACGCUGUUUCAAAAUGCGUUCCCAUCUGCAAGAGCACCUCCAUUUACAUUUUCCCAACUCCAGCCUGCAGUGUCCCACAUGCAAGCGCUUCUUCACCAGCAGGAGCAAACUACGCAUACACCGGCGACGUGAGGCAGGUGAAAAAGUCCAUCAUUGUCACUUGUGUGAAUAUUCCGCUGUGGAACGGAGCGCAAUCCACCGCCACCUUAGCACCAUGCAUGCUGAGGAGGCAGAAGAUGACACGGUCUGCCGCCGCUAUCCUUGUCCUACAUGCGGUCAAAGCUUUACCCAAAGCAGGGCGUUGAAGUCUCACAUGAAGACUCACAAUGUCCAACCAGACUGCAAAACUCCAGUGGCUUGCUUCCAAGAGGGUUGUUCUUUCCAGACUUUUUUACCCAAGGCUCUUGUCCGACACGCUGCAGAGGUGCAUGACAUCAAGGCUGUGGAAUGUCGACAUCACGCCUGCAGUGCUAUCUUUCCGGGUGAGAAGGAAAUGGAGGCUCAUUACAGAACCCACCUCGCUUACCAUUGCUCUCAGUGCGAUUUCUCAUGUUCCAAUAAGACCGCCUUCCUCCGGCACCAGCGCCAUGGCCAUGCAGGAAGUGAAAAACUGUGUUGUGAUUUUUGCACCUUUUUCACAUUUAACCCUGUGGAAUUUGAGCAGCACACUGGACACUUGCAUGCCAACGAAAAGAUCCAUCAAUGUCCACAGUGCAGCUAUGUGACCUCACACAAGAGAGGUUUGAGGCGACACAUGCUGAAGCAUAGUGUUGAGAAGCCUUUUAAGUGCAGCCUCUGUGACUUCCGAUGCCGUGAUGUUUCCUACCUCUCAAAACAUAUGCUCACACACUCCGAUAACAAGAACUUCAUGUGUGCUGAAUGUGGCUAUGUCACCAAAUGGAAACACUACUUAAACGUCCACAUGAGGAAACAUGCAGGAGAACUCAGGUAUGAGUGUGAUCAGUGCCCAUAUCGCUGUCAUCGCAUGGACCAGCUCAACAGCCACAAACUACGACAUCAGGCCAAAUCACUGAUGUGUGAGAUCUGUGCCUACGUCUGCAAGCGCACAUAUGAGCUCCGUAACCACAUGUUAGCGAAACAUUCUGUAGAGGGCAAACAAGCAUCUGUGUACAAGUGCAAAUACUGUACAUACACAACACGUUUUCGCCAAGCCCUUCAAAAUCAUGAGAAUUGUAUACACACCCGGCUGAAACAGUUCUGCUGCGCCCUCUGUCCCUAUUCCUCAUUCAGCAGCAUCAGCCUCUUCUUGCACAAGAAGAAAACCCAUGGAUAUGUACCAGGUGACAAAACUUGGCUGCAGAAUUAUGCGGCAAAAGAGAGGCAGAGGAACUCAUCUAACAUGUUGCACAAUGUCUGCAAUGAGCCACUGACAUGCAAUGAAAGAUCUAAGCUGUCGACUGAAGAAGCUCCAACAGAUUUUGGUGCCAAUGAAGCUCCUGCAGCUAUUGGAUCACUCAAUGAUGAAGAGGUUAGUCCACUUGGCACCAGCCCAGAGUACUGUACUCUUGUUUUAACAACAGUAACUGCAGACAAUGAAACUGCUAUUUUGCCAAAUGAAGACGCAUCCCCUUUACACUGCAAUAAAUCAGUCCAAGACAAGAUUCUCAUGGUUCAUGAAGAAGUUGAAAAAAGUCCAGCAGCUGACAGCCAUGAGUCGGAGCAAGAACCUCUAGAAUUGGAUCAUGAAUGCGGCAGUUCACAAUUCCCAUCUGAGAAAAAUCAGUUGGAAUGUUUGAAGCCCAAGAGGGCACAAGAAAAGGACCAAGCUGACGCUAUGGUUUUGGAGGGAAGAGUCCAGAUGCUUGUGGUGCCAAGCAAAUAUGGUCACGGCGGUGACAGAUCAUCUUCUAUGACCAGAAAGGAGAAGACUUUAAAGCUACCACAGCAUCAUGAGUGCCAGGCAUGUGGUGCUCAGUUCAAACAGAGGCGUGGCCUAAGUAGCCACCUUUCCAAGAAAUGUCCUGCAAUUCCAAGAAAAAUACAAACUUUUACUGGCAUUGCAGUCACACCGACCGAAGACGGUGUGGAUCCAGACACUUCUAAAAACCCGGCAGGAACAAUUUCACAUGAGGAAUGCCUUGUUCAACAAAAAGACACAGCAACUUCUGAAAGUGCCUAUAUGUUCACUGAGGCAGAUCAUGAGCAGAGCAACACACAGACAGAAAGGCUGUCAGAGGUUCGACACGGAGACAUUUCAGUACAGAAUGGGACAUUCAUGUGCAGCCUGUGCAGUUUUUCAUCAGUCAGACUCGCAACCGUGAAUAGACACGUUUCUAUUUGCCAAAAGCCAUUGCAAAUAAUGGAGAGGAAGACAGUCUCAAAAGACAAAAAGAGUGAAAGUAUACAAAUCACUGAAGAACAAUCUGGAGAGGAAUUUGUUAAAAGGCCUGGAGAGGUUUCCUCUGCUAUGUCUAACGGUGGAUUGAGAAAAGCUUUAGAUCUGCCGGAGAAGUCGAAUGAGUUGCAUUGCUCCAUGUGUCCAUUUGUUGACAAAUCCAAAAUCUCGACCAAUCACAUCAAUAAAAACUGUAGGCCAAUGCGUUUAAACCAGAGCGCUACCUUGACCAGCAAGCAAGAGCGGGGAAAGACACGGCUAAAACAACAAGAUGCCGCACUGCACACAUGCAGCUACUGUUCUUUCAGCACCACACGCCGCUAUCGCUUGGAAGAACACGAGUCUCUUCACACUGGAAUCGGGCGCCACACCUGCGACAUUUGCAACAAGACCUUUGGAGCCCUGACCAAACUGCGUCAGCACAAGGUACGCAUCCACGACAAACGGCCUUCCCAGGCGUGUACACUCUGUGACUACCGCGGCUACGCGCUUGAUGACGUGAGGAGACACACUCUCAGAUGCCACACAGGAGAAAUGCAUCAUAUCUGCCUUCAUUGUGAGGUUCGCUUCAGUUCAGAAGUCGCUCUAAGAAACCACUGUAAGCGUGUGCACCAGCUCCAAGUGCUUUUGUCCUGCAAGCAGUGCGACUAUUCAUGUAGCGACAAGGCCACACUGAGGACCCACCAGCAGAGCAAACACACCGCAAAGAACUGCACCACCUGUCAGGAGUCUUUGGGGACCAAAGAAAGCAUCAAGGCUCAUAGGAGAACCCAUCUUGCUCAUCAGUGCCAGCUCUGCCCUUUUUCUAGCAAAACAAAGCAGCUCCUUGCACAGCACCUUCUGGAUGAACAUGAGGAUGGGUGCCUUCUGGAUAAGCCUCUUGGGUGCAGCAGCUGUCCAUUUGCUUGUCAGCAUCCGCUGGUUUUGGAGCAGCAUCUCCGCUCGCAUGGAGGCAAGCGUGUGUACCAAUGCACCGACUGCAAGUAUACCACUGGCAACAAGCAGAAGAUGACGUGGCAUGUUCGCAUACACACCGGGGAGAAGCCUUACAGGUGUGAGAAUUGUAGUUACACCUGCAUUGAUCCCUCAAGGUUGAAGGACUUGGUUUUUGAUGCCCAUUUGACCACAUAUCAUUCCGCGAAAUGGAGUGCCCAAAUAAAGCAUGACAGGUUCCAGCCUUUAGUCAUUUUUAUUAUGUAUAGGUGGGUAGUUUAUAACACACCCUCAAUGAUGAACAACUUCAUGUCUGUCUCUGUGUUUCCUCAGAUAAGCACUGUGUGCCCUCGCUGAAGUGCACUACGUAUUUCAUAGUUUAGGUGAAUAUGUUUUCAGACAGUCUGUGCUUUCUUUAAAAAUGGAGUACAGCUGUAAACGGUAAACAGUGGUUGCCAUUUCAUUCAAGAAAGAACAUUGUGAAGGUAACAUAUGUUACAAUUAGGGUUCGCAAUCGAUUAAAAUAUUUGAUCAUGAUUAUUCACAUUUUUUGUCCAAAGUUAACUCACAAUUAAUCACGUUUAAUCGCAGCUAGAAAUAAGUAAUUAACGCAUUAACUUUGGUAAUCGCCAUGUGUCUGGAGCAGAUGUAAAAGUCGUGUUAUGCUAUAUGUUGAUUUAUUUCAUUUGUCAUUUAUAUUUAUUUUACAUUGUUUUCACCAUUUUAAAUGAGAAUUAUUCUCUAUAAAAUUUUCUUUUUGGAAAGAAUUUUGGGUGUAUUAAAAUGAUUCACUGGAUUUACAUUUCUUUAAUGCGAAAAUAGAAUUUUAGAUUGUUUUUCUUCUUACUUUUUGGAAUGGAAUAAUGACGAAAACCGUCGUUCCACUGUAAUGGUUUCAUUCACCAUUGUGAAAUCAUAAUUAGAGUGUAGUAAUUGGCCAUGCAUUCUUUAUCUAUUUAUUUUCCAAAAGACAAAUGCUAUUUUCAUCCAUGAUAGGACCUGAAGAGGUUUUAAAAAUGUGAAAAAUGUGCAUAUGUCCCAUAUAAUGAAUUCCUAUACAUUCACUAUACAUUCAUUUCUUUACUGUUAAAGGUGCAUAUGAGGGUUCAUCAAGAGGAGAAGAAGUACCUUUGUCCCGCGUGUGGCUACAAAUGCAAGUGGGCCACCCAGCUGAAAUAUCACAUGACCAAGCACACAGGUGAGAAGCCACAUGUCUGUGAUCAGUGCAGCUACCGCACCAACCGAGCCGA